CCCCUGUCGUGCAGAUCGGCUAGGGCUUCGCUGCUCGACCGCCCCACCUCCACUCCUGUGAUCCUGCCGUCGCUGCUUCGCACCGCAACCCGCCGCCGCCUAGGGUUCCGCACGCCAAGAGUUCUCGCCGCCUCUGACACUGAUGGUUUUCCCCAGAGUCCCUCGCCAAGACCUUCCCGCAUGCGCUGCAAGGGCACCAAAGCUAGCGGCGCCGUUCUUGAACUCUGAGGCGGUGGCCUGAGGAAACAUUCGAGUGGCGGCGGAUUUUGGCGAGCUGCUCUGGCGGAUUUGCUGUGGCGACGACUUGACACGCAUAGCCAGGAGCAAUUUAAUCUCUUUGUACAUGUGCGUUCAUUGCUGUCCCCAUCCCCUAGAAGGUACUACCAUCCUGUUGCACAGUCGUUGUCUUCCGCAACCUGGUCUUGGUGCUGCUACUGUGUAUUGUUAUUGUAUUUUUACAUGGGCAACAUGGUAUGCGGACAAUAGGUUUCCUGGUCAAAGGGAAAAUAUUCUUGUUAAGUUUUAAAAGAUUCGUCGAGUUUUUGGGCUUGUUGGUGUCGCUGCGAAUUAAGGAUCUUAAGAAUGCUGGAGUUUUUGGAGUCUCCUUCAAUUACCAGAGAUGUUGAUCUCUCUGAAGUGAAGAAAGUGAAGAAACAUGCGAGAAAGUCAAAAGCAAGUGGCGCGUCUGCUGAAGGUUCUUCUGGAGAGAAGGUAAUAAUAUGCUAUACUGAAAUGCUAAGGGCACCUCUAAAGUACCUUUUUGACCUCUAAUGUUCUGCUGGAAAAACCACCUAAUGCCUUCAUUUGUGUUCUGUUGUUUGAUGCUCAGUCAUUUACACCAGAGCAUCAAGAUAGUGCUCUUGCUUCUUGCAUUCUUGUCAUUCAUUUCUUACAUUCUCAGCAAGCUUUUCUCAUAUUAAUUUGUAAGGUCAUUACUACUACUUGCUACCAUUGUUAUUUCAACAAGUCUCAUGCCCUAUUAACUUAAAAUGUGACUACUUUACCUUAAAAUAUUGUUUAUGGAAAAAAUGAUGAAUUUCAGUUGGAGAGAAUGUUAUGAGAGAUGACACAAACUGCGGCAUUGGUCUCAAGCAAGAAAUUUUGCACGUGACUGGUUAUGAUAUUACUUUUUCUCUAUGUUCAAAUCAUAUAGCUAUGAACAUCUACAUGUAUUAUGUACUGCAGUUAACUGAAAGUUAUGGACAUACUUUUUUGAUCUCUUAGUGUUUUUCCCGAGGCAAAAGAGGUCAGUGCAGAAGCAUAAGCUAGGAUGCAGUUUUUUUGUUUCAAUGCUUGGUGUUUAUUCCUGAAAGUAUUAUAAUGUUUUGCAACUGAACAGUAAUCCAUGCAGAUCACCUUCUAGAACAUAAAGCCAAAUAUAACUCAUUGUUUUCAACUUCUCAGGUGGGUUUUUGGGAUUAUGAGCAGGGUGCUGUUUUAUGAUGAUUUGCUUAGUUCAGUUUUGUGUACUCUAAAGUUUAUGUUCAAAUCAGACAUUUUUUCUCCAUUUUGUUGAAUUUCUAUUAAAACAGAUGGAUAUUCAGAACCACCCUAAGUGUCACGGUGAAUGAUAAUUAUAUGCAUAGUAGGUAUGCUCCUUUAUGUUUUCUACUCACCAAAAUAUUUAUAGUUAAAGGCUUAAAGCAUUCAUUUAGUGACUGAAUGUGCUAUGUGUGUUCGUUUGUGCUAAACCAUCUGGCACCAUGUUGACUUCUUUUUAUCUUUGCUUGAUAUGGUUCUCUGCUUUUCGAAACUAUAAAGCCUACUUCGAAAUGCUUUAUAUGAAGCAAAUAUGCGAGAAUGUAGUGGAUGGUCUAGGAAAACUUCUUUAUUCAUAUCCUAUCUCAUGCUUGUCUACUUAGGCCCUGCUUGUUUCAGCGUUUACUGACCAAAACAGAUGUAAAAUUCAGAGCAGUAACUAACCAUUUUUUCCGUACCUCCAAUGCUCCGGCAAAUACGGCCGUAAUCAGCGGGCACAACAAAACAGGCGUGACCUUUUUUCCGGAGGAAAAUAUUAACGACAAUCCAAGCGGGGCCUUAGAGAAGAAAAACAUGGUACAACUGGAAGUCUGCUCCUUGGUUCUGGUAUCAAGUUUGGUUUCUCGAACUCUACUGAUUACCUACAUUUGGGAGCUACCUCGAUCGCGAGUGAUACUGUAUAGUGUGCCAUGCGAUACAAUUUGAUUAAUUAUCUCGUGUGAAGUUGUUCUAGCCAAACUCUGAUGGGGUGUGGUAUCGUCAUUUGGCUAUCUGUGAAUGGCCAGAUGCUGGACAUGUCUUGGGGUGUAGCUUUUUCUCCAUAUCAGUAAGUCAGUAAGGAUGAAGGUGAGGGUAAUGACUGAAAUUAUGGCAAAUAUGUGAGGUGUGCUAUCAGGCAAAAUGUUCUAGGCAUUAUUUUUUAUUUGGUAUAUGGAUAGUUGGUUAAAGACUCGUGGUCAUCUGUUUGGUAUUGGUAAAGGGCUCAUACACUGCAGUACUGUUUCGUGCAAUCUUUUGUAUGCCAGAUUACUAAUCUACUAUACGCUGCAUCGACCAGAUUUUCCUUGGCGCAAUUUAAAUUUUGUGUGCAAGUGUAGAAGUAGAUGACUGCAUAUUUCGUAAGUUAUAGCCCACAUGUGGAAACAAAUGAUUGACCCUUGUCACUAACGCCAAAUAUCUAACAUUGCCAUGCUCCUAUUUUUCAUGUAAGUUUUUAUAUUUUCUACCUAACCGAUAACAUUAUCUGGUUGCAUAAUA